rnacentral:rRNA from 6 species
AUUGAACGCUGGCGGCAGGCUUAACACAUGCAAGUCGAGCGGGGGAAGGUAGCUUGCUACCGGACCUAGCGGCGGACGGGUGAGUAAUGCUUAGGAAUCUGCCUAUUAGUGGGGGACAACAUCUCGAAAGGGAUGCUAAUACCGCAUACGUCCUACGGGAGAAAGCAGGGGAUCUUCGGACCUUGCGCUAAUAGAUGAGCCUAAGUCGGAUUAGCUAGUUGGUGGGGUAAAGGCCUACCAAGGCGACGAUCUGUAGCGGGUCUGAGAGGAUGAUCCGCCACACUGGGACUGAGACACGGCCCAGACUCCUACGGGAGGCAGCAGUGGGGAAUAUUGGACAAUGGGGGGAACCCUGAUCCAGCCAUGCCGCGUGUGUGAAGAAGGCCUUAUGGUUGUAAAGCACUUUAAGCGAGGAGGAGGCUACUUUAGUUAAUACCUAGAGAUAGUGGACGUUACUCGCAGAAUAAGCACCGGCUAACUCUGUGCCAGCAGCCGCGGUAAUACAGAGGGUGCGAGCGUUAAUCGGAUUUACUGGGCGUAAAGCGUGCGUAGGCGGCUUAUUAAGUCGGAUGUGAAAUCCCCGAGCUUAACUUGGGAAUUGCAUUCGAUACUGGUGAGCUAGAGUAUGGGAGAGGAUGGUAGAAUUCCAGGUGUAGCGGUGAAAUGCGUAGAGAUCUGGAGGAAUACCGAUGGCGAAAGCAGCCAUCUGGCCUAAUACUGACGC